CCCAGCCCCAGCAUGCACUGUUGCCCGGAGCCCACCUCAACAAAACCUGAUAGUGAGGCUAGUGAGCCCACAGAAGGCACUCUCUUCGACAGCCUACAGGAGAUGGAUCUGUUGGAGGAGAUCAUGGCAGAGCUGCAGAAUAAGUGCCACCUUGAAGACAAACCCAGCUGAGCCCUACUCUUAGCCCAGACUCGUAGGGUGCCACAGCUCUCCCUGCAGUCAUUACCCUUCCCCUUCCCAGGACUGACCCCAUCCCUCAGUGUCUACCUCAAAGCAAAGAAAGUGGUAAAGUCCCCCA